rnacentral:lncRNA from 1 species
GCCCGUAGAGCUAAUGUGGAGCGACGAAAGACUACCAGCACCAGUGUUGACUGCAGAGCCAUCGACGAAUCAGAGCUUUGAGCCGGGUUCGACGGUGCAGUUUCGAUGUACCGCACCCAAGGCUGGCCUACGCUUUGAGUCUGGCCUGCGCUUUGGCCUGCAUACCGAAGACUUGUAUGAGCGCAGCCUGAUCCAGAUACUGAAGUCUUCUGGUCAUGAAACUGUAUUCCAGCUGCAAAACCUCUCAGCCGCAGAUUCUGCCAGCUACAGCUGCAUCUAUACUGAACUGAAACCACCCUUCUCUGGAUCUGCUCCCAGCAACCUUGUGCCUCUGAUGGUGGACGGAUCCUACGAGUACUGAACUCCUAUAGUAAACUGGAGCUGCAUUUUGUGGGUCCCGAACAUACAGGAAACUAUACCUGCCGUUAUACCUCCUGGCAGCCUGAGCCCGUCCACUCAGAGCCCAGCAACUCCGUGGAGCUCCUAGUGGAAGGUAUGGCAGUGGU